rnacentral:rRNA from 1 species
UGGUCUUGACAUCCCGAAAAAGCCCUAGAAAUAGGGAAGUGCUCUCUUUGAGAGAAUUUGGUGACAGGUGCUGCAUGGCUGUCGCCAGCUCGUGUCGUGAGAUGUUGGGUUAAGUCCCGCAACGAGCGCAACCCUCGCCAUUAGUUGCCAGCAUUAAGUUGGGCACUCUAAUGGGACUGCCGGUGUCAAACCGGAGGAAGGUGGGGAUGACGUCAAGUCCUCAUGGCCUUUAUGUCCAGGGCUACACACGUACUACAAUGGUCGGUACAAAGGGCAGCUACUUAGCGAUAAGAUGCUAAUCCCAUAAAACCGGUCUCAGUCCGGAUUGGAGUCUGCAACUCGACUCCAUGAAGUUGGAAUCGCUA